rnacentral:rRNA from 1 species
UAGGGAAUCUUCGGCAAUGGGGGGAACCCUGACCGAGCAACGCCGCGUGAGUGAAGAAGGUUUUCGGAUCGUAAAGCUCUGUUGUUAAGGAAGAACGAGUGUGAGAAUGGAAAGUUCAUGCUGUGACGGUACUUAACCAGAAAGGGACGGCUAACUACGUGCCAGCAGCCGCGGUAAUACGUAGGUCCCGAGCGUUGUCCGGAUUUAUUGGGCGUAAAGGGUACGUAGGCGGAUAAGCAAGUUAGAAGUGAAAUCCUGUAGCUCAACUACAGUAAGCUUUUAAAACUGCUCAUCUUGAGAUAUGGAAGGGAAAGUGGAAUUCCUAGUGUAGCGGUGAAAUGCGCAGAUAUUAGGAGGAAUACCGGUGGCGAAGGCGACUUUCUGGCCAUAAUCUGACGCUGAGGUACGAAAGCGUGGGUAGCAAACAGG